rnacentral:rRNA from 1 species
UACGUAGGGGGGCAAGCGUUGUCCGGAAUCAUUGGGCGUAAAGAGCGUGUAGGCGGCCCGGUAAGUCCGCUGUGAAAAGUCCAGGGCUCAACCCUGGGAUGCCGGUGGAUACUGUCGGGCUCGAGUCCGGAAGAGGAGUGUGGAAUUCCGUGGUGUAGCGGUGAAAUGCGCAGAUAUCAGGAGGAACACCAAUGGCGAAGGCAGCACUCUGGGACGUGACUGACGGCUGAGACGCGAAAGCGU